rnacentral:lncRNA from 1 species
GAGAGAGAGAGAGAGAGAGAGAGAGAGAGAGAGAUGAUGUGUGCAAACUGUAAAUUAGCUUAGUUGAGAGAGAAAGGGAAAUGGUCUGCUGAAUCCGUAGAUUAUUAGCUUAUCAUCUACUUGGGGAACUCCGCCACCUCACCUCUGCCAACUUUCCAACGUGAAUGAGAGAGAGUUGUGGAUUGGGUUACUUGUGGCCGAUCAGGAGAGCCGUGAGCCGAAAAGAAAUAUAUAUAUAUAUAUUUUAACAAAAUAAAUAACCUUAUUACCUUUGAAACUUGUAAGAGUAUUUUGGUUAUUUUAUUUCAUCUGAAAUAUUUAUUUUUAUAUUUGUCUUUUAGAUAUUCUAUAAUAGGAGGUCACGUCCCAAUUUUUGUGUUGUGUAUUUUACGUUGUGAUUGAAGUCAUCCAAAUUAUCUAUUUAAAUUAGACUACCAGCACAGGGUGGCGCAUAUAGCUUUCAUAUACCUAAUAGCAUGUAGAAACGUUUAGAUUAAAAGCCUACGUGUGAUUUUGAAUUCUAGUCCUGAAACAAGAAUUUUUAAUGUUAAAAAUGUCUUCCAAGUUCCAAAUGAGAAAAAGUACGACUGUUUUUGUCAAUGUAGCUCAAGUGAUUUAAUUGGGUCAAAUGACUAAAAUGUGUUACUUGGAACCAAUAUGAUUUGGGUAUCUUUACAAACUUCUUGAGGCACAUAGAUGUAUAACCACUUUGUUAAGAAAAUAGUUUUAACCACUUUAUUGACUUUUUGAAAUGGUUUGUCUAUUUUAAUAACGUUUUCCCCCAACAAACUUCUUCUACAUGGAGGGGGUUGCAUGUAGGAGAACUUUUUGGGGAGUUGUAGAGACAAGGUAUUUCUUGACAAAUUGUUUUGGGGUAGGUUUACAAUGUAAAUUUUCCAAAAAACAUUAAAAAAUAGGAACAAUUAACAAUGGCUCUCAAUCUUUUUUGUUGCAUAUAGAGAUGUGCGGUUUGUUUGGAGUUCGACUUUUGGAAUCGUUUUUGUCCAUAGGAUAAGUAUAACUGAGAUAAAGUUAUUGAGAUGGAUAAGUGGCAACAUAAUUCAAAACAAAUAGAUGCAAAAGAACUUAGGGAUAACUCCAAUAAGCUAUAAAGGAAAGUAGAUAGGUGGGUUGGCUAUGUACAACGUAGACCUAAUAACACUAAUUAGGAGGGACGAUUGGCUCAAGUAGAAGGUUCCAAAACGACAAGAGGAUCGAUUUGAAACGACAAAAAAAUUUAUCCAAACGGACAUAGAUGGAAAUAGUGAGAAGAUAUAUAGUGACUUAUUGUCUAACCAAAUGUAUGACUUUUGACAGAGCAAAAUGGCAAAAUAUCAUUUGUAUAGCUGACCCUAAAUACUUAGGAUAAAGCUCUUAUAAUAAUGAUGAUAAAAUUGGCUUUUGUUCAUAUAAUCGAGCCUUUAAGUUUUUUAAAUUGGAGACGUAUGGACACAAUUAUUUUUGGCGGUUGAAUGUGAAAUUGAGUGACAUUUCUACAUAAAGGGUGCGGUUUGUAUAGAGCUGGCGCUCUAAACAAUCAAAGUAAAAUACACCUUCAAAUAGUAUUGAGAAAUGUGCUUUCAAUACUGUAAAUCUUUGUGAUAACCUUAAAAUUUAUUGACAUCUUUAAUUAUAAAAUUUAAAGCUUUAAAAAUGGUAUAGAACAAGCAGAUCUAUAAAAACUUGAAAAUAUUAAAAAUUGAUGGUCCAAAAUACGUUACAAGAUGCACUAUUUUCAAAACUUGAAAUCCAUUUUUUUCUCAUGUCCAUGCAUCUUGAUGUCCAGAUGAUAAAUUUAAGGAUAUUUGGGGAUGAAAAUAACCUCUAAUAAAAAUUUUGAGGUCGGUUCUAAUUUGAUUAUUUAGAGCCUCAGCUUUGUAUAAACUUUUUCCUUUUAUAAAAGGUAAUCAUCUCAUUGCAUACAAUUCCUUUUAAGGUGUUUGUGGCCUCUCUACACUAAAAAUUAGUCUCAUUGAACAUAAUCCCUUUUAAACUCAUACAUGGUUAAACCCAAGCUUCUCCAAACCGUAUCAUCGAAUCUGAUUCUUUUGAGCGACUACUGGCACGAUGAUAGCAUUCUCUCUUCUUCAUAGUAAUUAGGUCUGAAAAAAAAGCUUCAGUGGCCUUUCUGAAGAAAUAAAACCCAAACAAUGAGGAAAAUAAUUUCACUAAAAAAUGAAAGGUAAUUAGGAGAAUCAUGCUUGGGCUUGAGUGCACUACAUUCUCUUUUGUGGAAAAAGGCUCGAGUGCACUACAUUUUAAGUUUGAUUGCUAACACUCAGUUAUAAAAAAAAAAAAACAAAGCUACUCCAAAAAAAAUAAAAGAAGAAAAAAACUUAGUGAUAUAGGAGUAAGCUCCACCAAUAAAAUAAAAUAAAAUAAAGAAAAAAAAAAAAAGUGAUGCAGAAGCUCUUGCCUUAGACUGCCGAGGAGGACCCCUCCUAAAACGCAACUUCACAAAAUCCACUCAUAAAAGAAAUUGUAUGAGGUCCUCUCAUAAAGUCAUACCUGCUUGUCAAAUAAUUUACCUAAACUACCCCUAAAGCCGAAUUCUAAUACAAAAUUUCACACAGAUCCUUUCACCAAACUUCGAUCUACAACUAAGAGGCUCAAUGACCGAAUAUGAAAAAAUUACCUAGAUAUAAAAGUUGGAUCUCUUCAUUA